UACGUAGGGCGCAAGCGUUAUCCGGAAUUAUUGGGCGUAAAGAGCUCGUAGGCGGUUUGUCGCGUCUGCCGUGAAAGUCCGGGGCUCAACUCCGGAUCUGCGGUGGGUACGGGCAGACUAGAGUGAUGUAGGGGAGACUGGAAUUCCUGGUGUAGCGGUGAAAUGCGUAGAUAUCAGGAAGAACACCCGUGGCGAAGGCGGCUCUCUGGGACGGUACUGACGCUGAGACGCGAAAGCGUGGGGAGCGAACAGG
rnacentral:rRNA from 1 species